ACCUGGGUGGCUCAGUUGGUUAAGCAUCUGACUUCGGCUCAGGUCAUGAUCCCACAGUUCGUGGGUUCAAGCCCCGUGUCAGGCU
rnacentral:tRNA from 1 species